rnacentral:lncRNA from 1 species
AGAAUAUACAGGUCUAUAAAAUUUCUACCACAUGCAGCCAAAUGGAGGCUCAACUUGGAAUAAUGAUAUCCUGUCAAGGCACCAUUGGUCCUUUCCAGCACCUGGCAUUAGUGCUUCCAUUGAAAAUAAUUUAAAUGCCACACAGGUAAGAUCGCUAUUUCAAUAUGUUUGGGUAACAAAACAUCACUAAAAUUUUUACAAAAAAAAAAUAAAUCUAUAAAUAACCAGUUUUGUAGAAAAUAAAAUAAUACAUCCGUAGUUGGUUCCAACCUCUUCCAAGACAAGAUUGCCAAUCUAUUUAGUGAGCUAGAAGAGUCUCAUUGCUCAGUUUAAUAUAGAUAUUCACUGUGUUGUAGCACAAUGGAAAGGACUUGGGUUGCACCAUUCACAGAAGUUCCAUAUUCAAGUUUAUAUUAUUUUGCUGAUACAUACUUUUGACAAGAAAAAUUUCUGGAUAAUCAGUAAUUGCUCUUCAAGUAAAUUUCCAUUCCCUGCAACAGUUCUUGGCUUCUAUAGAUAAACCAUAAACCCAGGAUCAACCAUAUGAGAUACCUCUUGUUUCUUAUUUUUUGAGAAUCAUUUGAGAUACGAUUGCUCGCAGUUGAAAAUUUAAAUGAUUAAAAUAUGAAAAAAGAAAUGAUAAAAAAAUUAUGCUUGUGCUAAACAGAUUAUUGGAAGCAUGGAUAUCUGAUACUUUACUUCUGUUAAAACCAUUGUCACACAAAGUCGUAUUUUGCAAAUAUCUUUGGUAAAUAAGCUAUGGUUCCAAAAUCCAAACAAAAACUCAAAUGAAAAUUGACUCUUUUCUGCAUUAUAAAAAUAAUAAAAGACAGGUUUAUUCAAUAAAUAUUUACAUGCCCAGAGUCUAAAUCAUCCAGAGAAAAAAAUCAGAGAAAUAUCAACUCACGAAGCUUCAUAUCUACAUAAUUUUCAUAAUCACUUCCACAUGCAUCAUAACUGAUAUCCCCACCAUUGUCACACAAAGUCAUAUUUUCCAGAUAUCCUUGGUAAAUAAGCUAUGGUUCCAAAAUCCAAACAAAAAACCCAAAUAAAAAUUGAUUUUUUUCUGCAAUAUGAAAAUAAUAAAGGAUAGGUUUAUUCAAUAAAUAUUUACAUGCCCAGAGUCUAAAUCAUCCAGAGAAAAAAUUCAGAGAAAUAUCAACUCACGAAGCUUCAUAUCUACGUAAUUUUCAAAAUCACUUCCAUAUGUAUCAUAACUGAUAUCCUGAACAAAAUGGGGAACCUGAAUAUCUUCACAUUGCCAAAAGGAUACAUGACUUUUCAACAAAUAAAUCACUGGCACAGGACUAAUUAUUAUAAUUUAAUAUUCCUAUACUGUUAAAUUUGAAAAUAUGGAAACUAUUUCUGUAUCCCAGCAUUAGAGCACUAAACAUUACACUGGUGAUCAAGAAAUCCAGGCUUAUAUCUUCUCCUCAACCCUCUGUAUAAAAUUCAAAAAUUUAAAUAUCCAAAGAAAAAGAAAGAGGGGAUAAAAUAAGCAAUAUACAUAUGGUAAGAAACAUUGCCUAUAACUAUAAGAUUAUCAUGAAUC